rnacentral:lncRNA from 1 species
CAGGCUGGAGUGCAGUGGCACCAUCUUGACUCACUGCAACCUCCACCUUCCAGGUUCAAGCGAUCCUCCGGCUUCAGCCCCCCUAGUAGCUGGGAUUACAGCAGUGAAGGCAGUGAGGGGCUGUGGUGUGAUCCAGGAGGCUGAGAAUUAUGCAGUGGGUGCUGUCACCUUGAAGACAUCAGCGUGAUCAGGCAGAUCAUCAUGGUACUGCAUUUCCUGGACACGAUCUUAAUUUUCUUAAUACCUCCACCGACAUUUCAAAUAGCGUCUCUAAUGCCCCAGAGACUUUUAUGCCCCUAAGGUAGUUUUCUUUCUUUUGUGAAGCAGAAGAAGGGAAAUUGUUAAAGGGAAUAUUUUAACUAAAUUUAUUUCCAUAAAACUAUCUUUGUCUUUAUAUCUCAUGGAAAGUGUUAGGUAGCCUCAGGAUUAUAUCUCCGUUGGAAAACUGUAGAUGUAAACCUUCUUGCUAUCUACAUACUUACAUAUUUUUCUGUUGUUAUUUACUUAUGAAUAGCAUUUUGAUUAUAGCAGAAAUAAAAUACAUUAAAUGACUAAGCUCAGAAAUAAGAAAAAAAGGUCAAUGGUGAUCAUUUAUUUGGAAACUAUGAUAUUUUAAUGAUAUUAAUGGUGUAAUUGACAUUUAGUUAAACAUAUUUCAUCGUAAGUAGAGCACUUUAACUCUUACGGUCCACUUAAAAUGUAAUCAUACGUUUAUGUAUUUCUAGUUAAUGUAUCAAACUCAACUGAGUAAUCAAUGUACAUCAUUUAUUUUGCUCCUAAGUUAAUACACUAAGUUAUGCUUUAAAAUUACUAAUUUGCUGCAAUAUCCAAUACUCUCUUUUAAGUCUUACGUCUGCAGAAAAGGAUAUAAACAUUUCAUGACACCAAACCCAAGUAUUUUUGAUGCCCUUGGCAGUGUCAGUUGAACAGACAGUGUCAUUUAAUGUUUGAGACAGCAUCUGAAUUCCUUUUAUUCUUAAAAUUCUAUUUUAAAAUGCAGUUUUUGGAAAGUUAAUGUGAAUAGAAAAAUUUCUAACAUUUUAUGUGCAUGUGUUUUGUUUGUUACAGGCUUAGCAUCUCAAAUCUGAAAAUUCGAAAUCUGAAAUGUUUCUAAAAUUCAACUCUUUUGAGUGCUGAUAUGACUUUCAAAGGAAAAGCUCAUUGGAGCAUUUCAGAUUUUGGAUUUUUGGAUUUGGGAUGUUUAACCAGGGUAAAAUAUAGAAUGCAAAUAUUCCAAAAUCUGAAUAAAAUUGAAAUCUGAAAUGCUUAUGGUUCCAAGCAUUUUGGAUAAGGGAUAAUUAAGCUGUAUAACUUAUAAAACUGAAUAUAACAAAAUUUCCCAACAUGUGGAAAAUGAUGUCUUUUUUCAAAAAUGUCAAUAGCAGAUACAUGGUACAGUAAGUUAGGGGAAAAAAUGAGGUUUCAUAUCUUCUAGUUUCCUAAUUAAAAGGAGCCCAUUCUGGGUUGGAAGAAAGUGUCAGUAAGAUCAUUUCUCCUAUUUGAAAAUCAUACAAAGCUUGUCAGAGUGACUCAGGCCAGGAGUGUAGCUGGGCGUGUAGCUAAAUGAUAUCUCCCCACAUCUAUAUAAUAAGCUGUUACCUGCUUUAAAAGGAAAAGCUCUCAGCAUGACUCUAAUGUUGCAUUUCUGGAAUACAGCUUGAAAAGCUCUUCUCAGGGUUGAACAGAGCAUGAAGGUAAUGGUUAUUAUCUACUCACAUUAAAAAAAAAAAAAAAGAAAGAAACCACCACAGAAAACUACUUACUGUCUUUAGGCUCUACUUUCAAAAGUGCCCUUUAUGAACGCUUUUACACUGUUGAUGGGAGUGUAAAUUAGUUCAACCAUUGUGGAAGACAGUGUGGUGAUUCCUCAAGGAUCUAGAAUCAGAAAUACCAUUUGACCCAGCAAUCCCAUUACUGGGUAUAUACCCAAAGGAUUAUAAAUCAUUCUAUUAUAAAGACACAUGCACACGUAUGUUUAUUGCAGCACUGUUCACAAUAGCAAAGACUUGGAACCAACCCAAAUGCCCAUCAAUGAUAGACUGGAUAAAGAAAUUGUGGCACAUACACACCAUGGAAUACUAUGCAGCCAUAAUAAAAGAUGAGUUCAUGUCCUUUGCAAGGACAUGGACAAAGCUGGAAACCAUCAUUCUCAGCAAACAAGAACAGAAAAUCAAACACUGCAUGUUCUCAGUCUAAGUGGGAGCUGAACAAUGAGAAAACAUGGACACAGAGAGGGGAACAUCACACACUGGGCCUGUUGGGGGGUAGGGGGCUAGGGGAGGGAUAGCAUUAGGAGAAAUACCUAAUGUAAAUGACAGGUUAAUGGGUGCAGCAAACCACCAUGGCAUGUGUAUACCUAUGUAACAAACCUGCAUGUUCUGCACAUGUAUCCCAGAACUUAAAGUAUAAAUAAAUAAAUGAAUAAAUAAAUAAAUUUUAAAAAGU